UCCACACGUACCCAUCCCGAACACGACCGUUAAGCCCUCCAGCGCCGAUGGUACUUGGACCGAAGGGUCCUGGGAGAGUAGGACGCCGCCAAGC
rnacentral:rRNA from 2 species